AACGGUCUAUACCUGCGGUACCUGCGGAAGGAUCAUUAUCAAUUUACAGCGGACUUCGGUCCUGUCUGCACCCUUGUCUUUUGCGUACUAUAUGUUUCCUCGGUGGGCUUGCCUGCCGAUAGGACACUUAUAAACUCUUUUGUAAUUGCAAUCAGCGUCAGAAAACUAUAAUAGUUACAACUUUUAGCAACGGAUCUCU
rnacentral:misc_RNA from 1 species